AAAAUUGGGGAAAAGUCCUGGAAAUGAUAUUGAGGCUCAUAGAGCAUACCGGAAGCUCGAGAAUGGGAUUUCGGGCAUGAGAUGGCAGCUCGGGAAGCAUUGUCGGCGUGAGCGAUUGGCCGAUUUUUCCUUCCAAUUGAAUGAGGUUCGACCGGGGAGACGGUGAUCCUAGAGGAACUUGAGGUUCAAGUUGGAAUUCAUGCCGAGGCAGAGAUGAGGCUUCGAGCCAGAUGAUGCAAGUCCGGAUGCAAGCAGGGAUGGCGCCAGGAGGCCGUUGUGGCAACUAGCUGUGUUGCCUGAGUUAUGUAUUUUUAAUAUUGCUUGUAUGUAGCCAGGGGGCGUGGUGUAUGUAUACCCUUGUGAGUAAAUGUUUGUGUUAUUGAGCUUAAAUGUAUUUAAUUAUUGUAAUCAUCAUAGUGUGAUAGAUGAUUGUGAGAUUGCUUGUUGAAUGUGGCAUAGUCAGUAAAGCCAAGUUUCGGACCGAGUCAAGAUCAGCAAGGUAUGUUCUCAUAAAUCUCCAAUACUCAGCGAAGUGUUUGUAUGCUAGCUUUGUGCCUGGGUCACCUCUGGCUUGCUAUGGGGUGAGCUGAAGAGAGGUGAAGCUCACUCGGGUUUCG